AAAAGACACCAACUCAUCCACAGUGCAGUUAAAGCGUACAGCUGUGAUCAGUGUGAUAAAGCUUUUACUCAAAGUAGCUACUUACAGCGUCAUCAAGUUACCCACUCCGGAUUUAAGGCGUACAGCUGUCACAUUUGUGGAAAAACUUUCCGCUGGCUAGUCAGCCGAGACAUUCACCGACGCAUUCACACCAAAAAGGAUUUUUGCUUCUGUGAUCAGUGUGGCAAAAUUUUUGUGACAUACAAAAACUUACAUCGGCACAUGUUUACCCACACUGGGAAGAGACCUUAUAAAUGCGAACUGUGUGAGAAGACUUUUAAAUCUCCACAUUACCUCAAAUCACACCAAAAGAUUCACAGCAGAGAGAAACUCUACAAGUGCAGUUACUGUGAGAAGCAGAGCGACACAGAUGGAUCCACUUCUCAGCCCUGUCGUCACUGUGGUGGUGAGAAGACGUUCAAUCAGCAAGCGAGCCUAAAACGACAUCAACGCAGACACACUGGAGACAAAAUGAACUACUGCAAAGAAUGUGGGAGAGGCUUCACCACACCAAGUGAAUUAAGACAACAUGAACUCUGUCACAGUGACGUCAAAAAGCAAGUCUGUGACCAGUGUGGGUCAUCCUUCACCACUGCGGAUCAUCUUGAAGUGCAUAAACAAUCCCACGCUGUAAAUAAACAGUUUCAUUGUUA